GGAGGAGGGCUCUUCCCAUCCCUCUUGGAGAAGUGCUCACUGUGAGUUCAGUGCUGAGUGCCUGGAGCUGAGCUCUCAUCAAGUUUCCUUGACUUCUUCUUAAUGAAGACUGGAAGGGUUCCUUGAAAAUCCUCAAGCAUAGCAAUGGAGACAGUGACCAUUGAGGAUGUAGCUGUGAAAUUCACCCCAGCAGAGUGUGACUUGCUGACUCCAUCCCAAAAGAAGCUCUACAGAAGAGUGAUGUGGGAAACAUAUAUAUAUAUAUUAUUGCAACAAGAAGAAUAUGGAAUAAUCAGCAAAUUAAGGAAGAGGACAAAAAUUGCUCAAGUAAUAUAAGGUGACUGAAACAUAAGAGAAAGAGGACAUUACUUAAUUGUCAGUGUGUGACAUAAAUAUUACAACAAAGAACUUGAAGAAAUGAAAUCAUGUUACACUUUAUUUAACUUCAGAAAAAUACCAAGAGAUAUACUUGAUUUUAUUUUGUAUUAUCUGGGAAUCCAUAGAAACAUACUGAAAUAUAAGAAUCAGAGGUAAUUCUAAUGCUAUAUAGUAAAUAACACUAUCUAAUGUAUCAGUUUAAAAAUUGCCUUCAUGAUCAACAUCAUAUAAAUGUAUGACAAUAAAUUUAAAUAUUGUAUUCUGAUAUGUAGGAAAUGAACAGAUUGUGAAAGUUGAUAAAAACCCAUCUUCAAAAUACCAUUUAUGUAUACAUGUGAAUACUGAGAUUUUCAUGAUCUAGAAUUAUUUUCAUAGGGCUGGGGAUUUAGCUCAGUGAUAUAAGCGCCUGCCUUCCAAGCAGGCAGUCGUGAGUUCGAUCCCCGGUACUGAUAAAAAACGAAAAAGACAAAAAAAAAAAAAUAGAAUUAUUUUCACAUAGCAUUAGCAUUCAAAAUGAAAAUGAAUUCUACUGUUACAAUAAGUAUUCUGAAAAUAUCCUAUAGAAUAUUGAGCUGUUCAUGUUUAAAAUUCCUCAUACAUUGUUGAUGGACACAUAAAAUACAAACAUGGUAAUAAAUAUUCAGUGGUCUGAAAAUUAAAACAACAUAUUUGAUAUUGUUUCACAUGUACAUCCACAAUGAUAUCCUUUUUUAAAUCUUGUGAGCCAUGAUUUUAUACUGUAGUUCAGGUUGACUUUGAACUUACUGUGAAGCCCAUAAUGGCCUGAACCUCAGAGCAAUCCUCCUGCCUCUACCUCCUGACUGUUGAACGGGUUGUAC